rnacentral:tRNA from 1 species
GCGUUGGUUCAAUGGUAAAAUAUCUCGUUGCCAACAAGAUGCCCCGGGUUCGAUUCCCGGACGGCGCA